rnacentral:rRNA from 1 species
UACGGAGGGUGCAAGCGUUACUCGGAAUCACUGGGCGUAAAGAGCGUGUAGGCGGAUAGGUAAGUCAGAAGUGAAAUCCAAUAGCUUAACUAUUGAACUGCUUUUGGAACUGCUUAUCUAGAAUGUGGGAGAGGUAGAUGGAAUUUCUGGUGUAGGGGUAAAAUCCGUAGAGAUCAGAAGGAAUACCGAUUGCGAAGGCGAUCUACUGGAACAUUAUUGACGCUGAGACGCGAAAGCGUGGGGAGCAAACAGG